GGGAAAAAAGGAAUUUCCGCUCUACACCCUUUGUGAACAUACCUAUAACUGUUGCUUCGGCGGGUAGGGUCUCCGCGACCCUCCCGGCCUCCCGCCUCCGGGCGGGUCGGCGCCCGCCGGAGGAUAACCAAACUCUGAUUUAACGACGUUUCUUCUGAGUGGUACAAGCAAAUAAUCAAAACUUUUAACAACGGAUCUCUUGGUUCUGGCAUCGAUGAAGAACGCAGCGAAAUGCGAUAAGUAAUGUGAAUUGCAGAAUUCAGUGAAUCAUCGAAUCUUUGAACGCACAUUGCGCCCGCCAGCAUUCUGGCGGGCAUGCCUGUUCGAGCGUCAUUUCAACCCUCAAGCUCUGCUUGGUGUUGGGGCCCUACAGCUGAUGUAGGCCCUCAAAGGUAGUGGCGGACCCUCUCGGAGCCUCCUUUGCGUAGUAACUUUACGUCUCGCACUGGGAUCCGGAGGGACUCUUGCCGUAAAACCCCCAAUUUUCCAAAGGUUGACCUCGGAUCAGGUAGGAAUACCCGCUGAACUUAAGCAUAUCAAUAAGCGGAGGAAA
rnacentral:rRNA from 1 species